AUGGCGACCGGCGUACGGGUGAGUAACGCGUAUCCAACCUGCCCUUUACUAUGGGACAGCCCGUCGAAAGGCGGAUUAAUACCGUAUGUUGUCAUGUUGAUGCAUAUUUUCAUGACCAAAGGCUUCGGCCGGUAAAGGAUGGGGAUGCGUCUGAUUAGCUUGCCGGCGGGGUAACGGCCCACCGGGGCGACGAUCAGUAGGGGUUCUGAGAGGAAGGUCCCCUACAUUGGAACUGAGACACGGUCCAAACUCCUACGGGAGGCAGCAG
rnacentral:rRNA from 1 species